rnacentral:pre_miRNA from 1 species
UGAGGAAUUUCUGAGUCAGAGGGUAACUCUAUGUUAAUAUUUUGAGGAACUGUCAAACUAUUCUCCAGAGUGGCUGCACUAUUUUGCAUUUGCACCAGUAAU